AAAAAAAGGAAGAAACGAAAGGAGAAACCAUGAGGGAGGCGGCAACAGAGAGCAUUUUUAUGGAAGAGGUACCUGACUUUGAUCGUUCAAAGGCUCUACGCAAAGGGAAGGCAUUGUUUGAUAUUUCGUGGCACCCGCUCGGCAUUGAGAGUACGAUCCAGGCUCCAGUUCUACGCCCUGUGGCUGAUACGCAAGGGUGACAUCCUUCGGUCAUUCAGGGUGAACUACUUGGUCAUUCGUGGCCUCUGAAGGACCCUCUUUAUCUAAUUCUAUUUUUGUAUUCGAUAGACAGUAUGUAGCCUUCGGGUAUUUUCAGACUAUGUUUAGCGCUCUUGUACCCUUUGACCAGAUUUUGGGGAUGUUGGGAUAUUUCUAGUUAUGAGAAGUAUUUAAGAUUUGAUAACUGAUUCUUAUUUAAAAUUUUCACUUAUUUAAA